AACGAACGCUGGCGGCAUGCCUAACACAUGCAAGUCGAACGAGACCUUCGGGUCUAGUGGCGCACGGGUGCGUAACGCGUGGGAAUCUGCCCUCUGGUUCGGAACAACAGUUGGAAACGACUGCUAAUACCGGAUAAUGACUUCGGUCCAAAGAUUUAUCGCCUGAGGAUGAGCCCGCGUCGGAUUAGCUUGUUGGUGAGGUAAAAGCUCACCAAGGCGACGAUCCGUAGCUGGUCUGAGAGGAUGAUCAGCCACACUGGGACUGAGACACGGCCCAGACUCCUACGGGAGGCAGCAGUGGGGAAUAUUGGACAAUGGGCGAAAGCCUGAUCCAGCAAUGCCGCGUGAGUGAUGAAGGCCUUAGGGUUGUAAAGCUCUUUUACCCGGGAUGAUAAUGACAGUACCGGGAGAAUAAGCCCCGGCUAACUCCGUGCCAGCAGCCGCCGUAACAC
rnacentral:rRNA from 1 species